GGUCACCGCCGCCGGGGAUGUGGAUGCACGUGGGUCUGUCGGUCGCUGGCAGACGAGGUCGCGUGUGCGUGGAGCACUGGUCUCCUCCCUGCCGUUGUCGACCUCCCUGUUGCCAGUGACAGAGAUCAACUGUUGGUGGACCGACCGCUGGCAAACGAGAUCGCAUGAGCGUGGACGCACAACGGAGAUUAACAGUAGCCGGCAGGAGAUCAAUUGUUGUUUGUUUUCUCUAUCUCACAUAGGAAAGCUCUUGAUUCACCAAAAUGCUCAAUCAUGUGCAUAUUUGCUACCCUGUUAGGAAAGAAUGAUAUAAAACUGAAUUGCAAACAUCUGUAGUAGAUCAUCCAGCAUAAAGGGUUGUGGAUGUCCUAUUGCUGCAUGAACAGAACCAAUGAUGUUUUGCAAGUAAUUUCUUUUUUGUGGCAUCAACACGAGGAUGGUAUACAUAAUUGAGAACAUCAUGUGUUCAUAAUAUAUUUUGUGAUAGCAACUCAACCAAGGAUGCUUAUGGCAAGUUUAAUCGCAAUAUAAAUCAAUUGGUUUGGAAACACACCUGCUAAAAAAUAGUUUGUUAUUUUUUUCUUAAAAUCUUCAACCUACUAUGUGAAGCAGUUCUCCUUUGUAUUAUAUCUGAGAUCCAUCUGGCUUAUAUCUGAUUUUAGUGAUAUAGAAAUCAAAAUUGAUUUUUGAUUUAUUCACUCUUUUGUAAGCACUUAUCUUUAGAUGACACAUUUUAUUGUUCUGGUGUUCCGUUUUACUAUGAGGUUUGAUUUUAUCAACCUAAUUCAGUCUUUCUUUUGCAAAUUAUUUACAAAAGAAAAUGGUUAGGGAUGAAGAGUUGAAGGUCUGAAGCCAAAUGUUCCUAAUCAGGAAAAUGACUGGCUCAAUUCCUUUGAAACAAGGCCAACGCUAUGUCCCAAUAUUAAAUAUUGCAACCAUGUUUAAUUGGUCUAAUAUCGUAUAGCAAUGUAUGCUUCAUGCAUGCACUUUUUAUCAUUCAUUUUUAUUAUUCAAAAUCUCUAUAUGAUCAUCAUAGAUGUUGCUAUUACAUGGAUUUAUUAGUAUUUUUCAUGUGUUGUAUGGAUGUUACUUAAUCUCAAUAUGAAAACAGAAUUUAGUACCCACACAAAUUUCAUAAGAUGCUUUGAUCGAUACGUGCGUUGCACGUGCAUGGUUACUAGUGCUGGAAAAGACAGAAACUUUCUGCUCACGAAAAGAAUUUUCAUUUUUUUUCUGUAAGAGCUUUUGAGUUUAUUCUUUUUUCUGCUGAUUGCUACGCAAAUUCUUCAGACUGUCGUAAUAUUUCAGAAUUUUUGAAGUAACAGAGGUAUACGAAAUAUACAGAUUGCUACAGACUGGUCUGUUGUUAACAGAUUCUGUUUUUGUUGUGUUGGUUGCUUAUUUUGAUGAAACUAUGGAUAGUAUCGGGGGGUAUUAGCCAUUGUAACAUCCCAAAAUUAUAAACUUUGGAUUGUUAAUAUAAUUAUUAGAUUGAGAGUUUGUCUGUUUGAGUGAUUGAAACUUGAGUGGAAUUUGAAACUUUUUUAAAACUUUUGAAAGAGAGGGAAUAAAAUGACUUUCCCAUUUUCUUUUAAAUUCAAAUUCAUCGAAUUAAAAUCAGUGAGAGAAGAUAACAUGACUUCUUCAACUAUAAAGAAUUUGAAUGAAUGUGGCAUUUGAUUUUUUUCCUUUGGUUUUUGAUUUGAAUUUUAUUUUUGGCACAAGAUUUCAACCAUAAUUUUUUUUCCUGACAAUAUACUUGCCAAGCAAGAAAGAGAGGAGGUAACAUGACACAAAAAAAAAGUCAGAAGAAAAAUAGUGCCAAAAAUUUAAAGACAAAAUUUGGAUUUUAUUGAAUUUUUAAAAAAUAAUUUUUUAUAAAGUUUUUAUUUUGUGAAAAAUAAAAUGUUCAUGUUGUACGAAAUUUUAUUCUGAAAAUUUUGAUAUAUAAUAUGCCUAUAUAAAAUAUUCUCUUAAUUUCAUUUAUAUUUGUUUUCGCUGUUUAUUUUGAAAAAAAUAAAAAAAGACACUAUUCACCAGGAAACACUAUUCAUCCGAGCUUGCCUAUGGGCUGGCCGAAAUUUACUUGGCCCAUGGGCAUUUGAUCCCUCCUUUUCUCCUCUUUACGUAUAUGUUUAGUCCCACAUUGCCUAGCUAUUGACCUUUAGACCUUCUUUCCACCUAUAAAUAUAGACCCGUAGGAGCAUCCAAAAAUCAUCUAUUUCGGGUUAAAUUAAUCUUUUGGUUUGACUAGGUUUAUUAAAUAAAAAUAUUCUCUUCUCUUCGGCGGGAUUUCUCGAAGUCGUCUCCUUAUUGGAAUUAAUUCUCACUCUGCAUUUUAAAGGUAUUUCUCUUCGUAUUUUUUUUAUACUCCCGUAGUUUAUUAUUUCUAGACUAGUAUUCCUACACUAGUAUAUGGUAGAGUAAUUAGAUAUAUUAAUUAGUCUUCUUAUUUCCACAUUAGUACUAGAAUUCUUUUAGACGUAGCACUUUUAUUCCGUAAAACAGCUUUGCCCUGAUUUUUCAAAUAGUCAUAACUUUUUACUCGUUUAUCCGAAUUAGAUGAAACCAACGCCUAGAGUUUCGUCUUGAUCCCACCUAUCCUGUGAACCUAUCAUAUCAACUUUUUGAAAUUUUCAAAUUUCGAAAUUUGUUCAUAUUCAUAUUCAAACUUCUUUUGAUCAUAUCUUUUUAUCCGUAGCUCCGCUUUAGAUGAAUUCAAUUGCGUCGGAUUCGUAUCAAAGUAAUCUUUUCGUUUGUAUCAUUAGUUUUAAAUUUUCAACUUAUAAUUUUGAUCAAAUCAGAUUUAUCUAUUAGUGCCCAAAAAUGUUCACAUCGUUCUAAGUUGAUUCAAUGUUAUAUUGAAGUAUUUGUAUAUUUUGAUCCGCUAGUUCAAAUCUAGUAAUUCUUUUUUCUACACGCUCAUAUUGAUCUCCUAUAACACUGAUUCCAAUUGCUACAUAUCUAGUUAGACAAACUUCACGUCAAGUAGCAUCAAUAUAAAAUUGAAGGUGCAUACUGACUGUACCUCGAAACAUAGAUCAACAAUGAGUCUUGUGUAAAUUGACAAUGGGUGUUUGGUUUAUUAUGUCACUCUUGAGGUGAGUUUUGUUUACUACUAAUGCUAGCAUUUUUACAGCCUCGUUUAUGAGAGGGAGUAUGGGGUGGUGAGCCUUUUUCCUUUGUGUUUCUAAAGGUGUGAGUGCUUAAGAGGUUCUUCAUGUUGCAGUGAGAUAUAAAGAUCCAUCAAAUAAAAUGAAUAUCAUAUACUAGAAUUGUUAACGAUAAGAGAUUUUACUACGUUCAACAAUACAAACACGAGUAGGUACAUCAGUUUUAGAACACCUACUAAUAAUUAUCCUAUAAUGUACUAAUAGCAAGUAGUGUUUCUAAUGAUCUUCCUACCUCUCACAACUUCAGUUGAAGUGAACUUCACCAGUGGAACGCAGUCCAAUCUCUUACAUCAGCUGUUUCGGAAAGAUCUUCAAGCUCCGUCUGACAUGAUGUUUUGUAUCAGUCAAAACAGUGGUAUAAAAGCUAUUAAAAAUACAAGUUCUGAGAGCUAUAAUCUAAAAAAGCUGCACUGUUGUAUUGAUCACCAAUAAUGGUCAUAAGUUUCAAACACACGCAAUGUAUAGUGGCUUGGCUUGCAGCAAAACCAAGGCACAUAAGAUAUAUGUCUCUUUUAUUUUACGUAUCUAAAAAGUCAUUUCACAUCGAUAAAAAUAUAUUAGGUAAUGACCGCAACUGGCGAUGUGCAUUUCUAACAUAGCAUAUAUAUUACUCCACUACAGCACAAAUUGGCUCUAGAUUAAAAUUACUGCAGCAAUGCACAGGUCCAAUUAUAGUCUAAUCCAUGUGUGGGCAGGCAUAAUUUACAGCAAUGAUGUUGUUGUUGUUUUUGUGGGGGGGCAUUGAUUUUGUUAGAUUCCAUGCUAACAGAAAAAAGGAAGGCAGAAAGCAAUACAAAGAAGGGAACACUAAUUGUUAACAUUACAUUUAAUUCACUUGCAUAUCAAGGUAUUUGCCCCCGCAUAAAUGUUAAAAAUAAGCAUUUUAGUAGAGUAAAAGAACACUAACAGAGAUGUAGGAGUUGCAUGCAGAACUAACCUCGAAAUAAGUAGGCAAACUUUCCGGCUUGAUGUCCAUGUAAAUUGUCUGCUUCUUGUGACAGUAUGCCAGAGCACCAGCAAGAAUUGCAACCCACUGGAACAAAAGGAGAAUGAAUCAAAUCAAUAGACAAUUCAGCACAAAAGAAAAGCAACACAUAUGUCCAUCAUUUUUGUUAUCCUAGGGUGGUAAGGUAGCAUGAGUUCUUGGCCUAUAUUGCAGUAUAUCAAAAACUGAGUACGUGUCAUGCUAAAGCAGACUAUUGUUUGACCCAUUCCUGUUCAGAACAAUGAAAUGUGAUUUAUUGCAUCACUCUUGAGUCUUGAGGUGGGUUUUGUGUACUGAAGAUGUUAGAUUUUGUUUUUCACCCUCCUAUAUGAAAGAGGGGUGAGGCUUUUGCCUUACGUUUGUAAAGAUGCUCUAGAGUGCUUAAGAAGCCAUCCAUGUUGCAGUUAGAUACAGAGAUCAAUCAAACCCAAAUGAAAUGAAUACCUUAUUUACUAGAACUGUUAACAAUCAGACACUUUCCUACUUUCACCAAUGCAUGGGAAACCAACAUGACUAAACAUCUAAGUAGUUGGCACGAAAAAUCUAACAUUAGACUUGUAUCAGUCAAACAGUAGGUGGAAAACUACAGAUUAUACACAAGUAUCAUUAGACUUGUAUCAUUCAAACAGUAGUUAGAAAACUACAGAUUAUACACAAGUAUCAUGCGCAAAAUGUGCGAACAAAUCUUUAGACCGAAUAUAGCUACAGUGUACAUUGAGACAGUUAAUUAUAGUCGAGACUUGAUCAAACACUGAUUCCAAUUGCUACAUAUCUAGCUAGACAAACUUCACGUCAAGUAGCAUACUAGAAUCAAUACAACAUUGAAGGUGCUGUUGGGGAACGUCGCAUGGGAAACAAAAAAUUUACUACGCGCAGGAAGACCUAUCAUGGUGAUGUCCAUCUACGAGAGGGGAUGAGUGAUCUACGUACCCUUGUAGAUCGUACAGCAGAAGCGUUAGUGAACGCGGUUUAUGUAGUGGAACGUCCUCACGUCCCUUGAUUCGCCCCGCGAACAAUCCCGCGAUCAGUCCCACGAUCUAGUACCGAACGGACGACACCUCCGCGUUCAGCACACGUACAGCUCGACGAUGAUCUCGGCCUUCUUGAUCCAGCAAGAGAGACGGAGAGGUAGAAGAGUUCUCCGGCAGCGUGACGGCGCUCCGGAGGUUGGUGAUGACCUUGUCUCAGCAGGGCUCCGCCCGAGCUCCACAGAAACGCGAUCUAGAGGAAAAACCGUGGAGGUAUGUGGUCGGGCUGCCGUGGAAAAGUCGUCUCAAAUCAGCCCUAAAACCUCCGUAUAUAUAGGUGGGAGGGAGGGGAGGAGGCAGCCUCAAAACCUAAAGGUUUGGCCGAAAUUGGAGGUGGAGGAGUCCUACUCCAAUCCUACUUGGAGUAGGAUUCCACCUUCCCACUUGGAAACUCUUUCCACCUUGUGUUUUUUUUCCUUCUCAAACCUUAUGGGCCUUAGUGGGAACUUAUUCCAGCCCACUAGGGGCUGGUUUAUCUCUUCCCAUAGCCCAUGAGACCCCUUGGGGCGUGACACCCCUCCCGAUGGUCCCCGGCACCCCUCCCGGCACUCCCGGUACACUACCGAUGAGCCCGAAACUUUUCCGGUAAUGCACGAAAACCUUCCGGUAACCAAAUGAGGUCAUCCUAUAUAUCAAUCUUCGUUUCCGGACCAUUCCGGAAACCCUCGUGACGUCCGUGAUCUCAUCCGGGACUCCGAACAACAUUCGGUAACCAACCAUAUAACUCAAAUACGCAUAAAACAACGUCGAACCUUAAGUGUGCAGACCCUGCGGGUUCGAGAACUAUGUAGACAUGACCCGAGAGACUCCUCGGUCAAUAUCCAAUAGAGGGACCUGGAUGCCCAUAUUGGAUCCUACAUAUUCUACGAAGAUCUUAUCGUUUGAACCUCAGUGCCAAGGAUUCAUAUAAUCCCGUAUGUCAUUCCCUUUGUCCUUCGGUAUGUUACUUGCCCGAGAUUCGAUCGUUAGUAUCCGCAUACCUAUUUCAAUCUCGUUUACCGGCAAGUCUCUUUACUCGUUCCGUAAUACAAGAUCCCGCAACUUACAUUAAGUUACAUUGCUUGCAAGGCUUGUGUGUGAUGUUGUAUUACCGAGUGGGCCCCGAGAUACCUCUCCGUCACACGGAGUGACAAAUCCCAGUCUCGAUCNNNNNNNNNNNNNNNNNNNNNNNNNNNNNNNNNNNNNNNNNNNNNNNNNNNNNNNNNNNNNNNNNNNNNNNNNNNNNNNNNNNNNNNNNNNNNNNNNNNNNNNNNNNNNNNNNNNNNNNNNNNNNNNNNNNNNNNNNNNNNNNNNNNNNNNNNNNNNNNNNNNNNNNNNNNNNNNNNNNNNNNNNNNNNNNNNNNNNNNNNNNNNNNNNNNNNNNGGACUCCGAACAACAUUCGGUAACCAACCAUAUAACUCAAAUACGCAUAAAACAACGUCGAACCUUAAGUGUGCAGACCCUGCGGGUUCGAGAACUAUGUAGACAUGACCCGAGAGACUCCUCGGUCAAUAUCCAAUAGCGGGACCUGGAUGCCCAUAUUGGAUCCUACAUAUUCUACGAAGAUCUUAUCGUUUGAACCUCAGUGCCAAGGAUUCAUAUAAUCCCGUAUGUCAUUCCCUUUGUCCUUCGGUAUGUUACUUGCCCGAGAUUCGAUCGUUAGUAUCCGCAUACCUAUUUCAAUCUCGUUUACCGGCAAGUCUCUUUACUCGUUCCGUAAUACAAGAUCCCGCAACUUACACUAAGUCACAUUGCUUGCAAGGCUUGUGUGUGAUGUUGUAUUACCGAGUGGGCCCCGAGAUACCUCUCCGUCACACGGAGUGACAAAUCCCAGUCUCGAUCUAUACUAACUCAACGAACACCUUCGGAGAUACCUGUAGAGCAUCUUUAUAGUCACCCAGUUACGUUGCGACGUUUGAUACACACAAAGCAUUCCUCCGGUGUCCGUGAGUUAUAUGAUCUCAUGGUCAUAGGAACAAAUACUUGACACGCAGAAAACAGUAGCAACAAAAUGACACGAUCAACAUGCUACGUCUAUUAGUUUGGGUCUAGUCCAUCACAUGAUUCUCCUAAUGAUGUGAUCCCGUUAUCAAGUGACAACACUUGCCUAUGGCCAGGAAACCUUGACCAUCUUUGAUCAACGAGCUAGUCAACUAGAGGCUUACUAGGGACAGUGUUUUGUCUAUGUAUCCACACAAGUAUUGUGUUUCCAAUCAAUACAAUUAUAGCAUGGAUAAUAAACGAUUAUCAUGAACAAAGAAAUAUAAUAAUAACUAAUUUAUUAUUGCCUCUAGGGCAUAUUUCCAACAGUCUCCCACUUGCACUAGAGUCAAUAAUCUAGUUCACAUCACCAUGUGAUUCCAACGAAUCCAACACCCAUAUAGUUAUGGGGUCUGAUCACGUCUUGCUCGUGAGAGAGGUUUUAGUCAACGGUUCUGAAACUUUCAGAUUCGUGCGUUCUUUACAAAUGUUUAUGUCAUCUUAUAGAUGCUGCUACUACGUGCUAUUCGGAAAUGCUCCAAAUAUCCACUCUACUAUACGAAUCCGUUUCACUACUCAUAGUUAUCCGGAUUAGUGUCAAAGCUUGCAUUGACAUAACCCUUUACGACAAACUCUUUAACCACCUCCAUAAUCGAGAAAAAUUCCUUAGUCCAUUAGUUACUAAGGAUAAAUUUCGACCGCUGCUAGUGAUUCAAUCAUGGAUCACUCUCUGUACCUCUCAACAGACUUUGAGUCAAGGCACACUUCAGGUGCGGUACACAGCAUGGCAUACUUUAGAUUCUACGGCUAAGGCAUAGAAGACGACCUUCGUCUAUUCUAUUUAUUCUGCCGUGGUCGGGUUUUGAGUCUUACUCAAAUUCACACCUCACAACGCAACCAAGAACUCCUUCUUUGUUGGUCUAUUUUGAACUCUUUCAAAAACUUGUCAAGGCAUGCAUCUUGUUGAAACUUCUAUUAAGCGCUUUCGAUCUAUCUCCAUAGAUCUUUGAUGCUCAACGUUCAAGUAGCGUAAUCCAGGUACUCCUUUGAAAACUUCUUUCAAACAACCUUGUAUGCUUUACAGAAAUUCUACAUUACUUCUGAUCCACAAUAUGUCAACCACAUAUACCUAUCAGAAAUUCUAUAGUGCUCCCACUCACUUCUUUGGAAAUACAAGUUUCUCAUAAACCAUGUACAAACUCAAAAUCUUUGAUCAUCUCAUCAAAGUGUAUAUUCCAACUCCGAGAUGCUUGCACCAGUGCAUUGAAGGAUCACUGGAGCUUGCAUACUUGCUAGUAUCUUUAGGAUCGACAAAACCUUCUGGUUGUAUCACAUACAAUGUUUGCUCAAGGAAACCGUCGAGAAAACAAUGUUUUGACAUCCUACGUGCAAUAUUUCAUAAAUAAUGCAUCAACAACUAACAUAACUCUAACAAACUUUUAGCAUCGCUACGAGUGAGAAAGUCUCAUCAUAGUCAACUGUUUGAUCUUAUCGAAAACAUCUUUGCGACAAGUCGAGCUUUUCUUAAUAGUGACUUAUCACCAUCAUCGUCUGUCUUCUUUUAAAGAUCCAUUUUUACUCAAUAGUCAUAUGACCAUCAAGUAGUUCUACCAAAGUCUACACUUUGUUUUCACACAUGGAUCCUCUCUCGGAUUUCAUGGCUUCCAGCCAUUUGUCGUAAUCUGGGCCCACCAUCGCUUUCUCCAUAACUCGUAGGUUCAUUGUUGCUUAACAACAUGACCUCCAAGACAGGGUUACCGUACCACUCUGCAGUAGUACGCGACCUUGUCAACCUACGAGGCUUGUAGUAACUUGAUCCUGAUGCUCGAUGAUCACCAUCAUCAGCUUGCACUUCAAUUGGUGUAGGCGCCACGGGAACAACUUCCUGCGCCCUGCUACACACUGGUUGAAGUGAUGGUUCAAUAACCUCAUCAAGUUCUACUACCCUCCCACUCAAUUCUUUCGAGAGAAACCUUUCCUCGAGAAAGGAUCCGUUUCUAGAAACAAACACUUUGCUUUCGGAUCUGAGAUAGGAGAUGUACCCAACUGUUUUGGAUAUCCUAUGAAGAUGCAUUUAUCCGCUUUGGGUUCGAGCUUAUCAGACUGAAACUUUUUCACAUAAGUGUCGAAGCCCCAAACUUUCAAGAAACGACAGUUUAGAUUUCUCUAAACCUCAGUCUAUACUGUGUCAUCUCAACGGAAAUACGUGGUGCCCUAUUUAAAGUGAAUGCGGUUGUCUCUAAUGCAUAACCCAUAAACGAUAGUGGUAAUUCGAUNNNNNNNNNNNNNNNNNNNNNNNNNNNNNNNNNNNNNNNNNNNNNNNNNNNNNNNNNNNNNNNNNNNNNNNNNNNNNNNNNNNNNNNNNNNNNNNNNNNNACUGCAUUGAGCUUGACCCUACCCCGUGAGGGUCAUGUUAUUACCAUGUUGACAAGUAAUGUUAAGGCAUAUUAUCUCAAGCAUAAUGAUGAGCUAAAUAAAGAGUUUAUGAAAACCCCGUCGGGUGCCACUAAUGCCCGAGGGUGAUGAUGAGUUGGUGAUCACUUUUGGUGAAGUGAUGCACCGGUGAUUUUGGUGUGAGUAUNNNNNNNNNNNNNNNNNNNNNNNNNNNNNNNNNNNNNNNNNNNNNNNNNNNNNNNNNNNNNNNNNNNNNNNNNNNNNNNNNNNNNNNNNNNNNNNNNNNNNNNNNNNNNNNNNNNNNNNNNNNNNNNNNNNNNNNNNNNNNNNNNNNNNNNNNNNNNNNNNNNNNNNNNNNNNNNNNNNNNNNNNNNNNNNCGUGAUGCGGUCGUGCCAGGUAGGACGACUAUGCCAUUAUUAUGAGUUCCGCGCACACCGUUGGUCCCUGCAUGGUUGAUACGGUCCAGAGUCCGUGCUCGUAAGACGUACAACAUGUGGGCUGGGUACCAAUCGAGUGGACCUCUUUGUCUAGUAUCGUUAGGGGAAAGAUGAUGAUCGGGUACUUACCUCGGGUAUAUGUGAUAUACCGCGAGUCGUGGAUGACACGGAAGUUUCCCGUUUCUCGUGGGUCCAGCGUACUACCUCUGCAGAGUGUAAACUAUUCGAAUAGUCGUGUCCACGGUCAAGGACAGUUGGGUGGUGCUGCUUAAACUACGNNNNNNNNNNNNNNNNNNNNNNNNNNNNNNNNNNNNNNNNNNNNNNNNNNNNNNNNNNNNNNNNNNNNNNNNNNNNNNNNNNNNNNNNNNNNNNNNNNNNNNNNNNNNNNNNNUCAAGUUCGGUGACUUGACAUAUAGGGUAAACCCGGAUGGUUUAGCCCUCAUUAAUAUCUUGAGGAUAUGACAAGUCCGAUGACUUGGCAUAUAGGGUGAACCCGGUGUGUUCAACCCUUGACAGAUAUGUCAAUAUCUGUAACCUGUUCUUCAAAAGUAGUUCUUUAACUUGUUGCAUAUACCUGAUCAUUCCACCCAGAUGAGUUACACAAAAGAUGCUUGAUAUUGUUAUCCUUCACUUUCAUUUGUUCCUAUCAUGGGCUGUUUGCGAGUACAUUCAAAGUACUCAUUGGCUUGCCACUGGUUAUUUCAUUGACCAGGUGUGAAAGANNNNNNNNNNNNNNNNNNNNNNNNNNNNNNNNNNNNNNNNNNNNNNNNNNNNNNNNNNNNNNNNNNNNNNNNNNNNNNNNNNNNNNNNNNNNNNNNNNNNGAGCUCGGGCGGAGCCCUGCUGAGACAAGGUCAUCACCAACCUCCAGAGCACCGUCACGCUGCCGGAGAACUCUUCUACCUCUCCGUCUCUCUUGCUGGAUCAAGAAGGCCGAGAUCAUCGUCGAGCUGUACGUGUGCUGAACGCGGAGGUGCCGUCCGUUCGGUACUAGAUCGUGGGACUGAUCGCGGGAUUGUUCGCGGGGCGGAUCGAGGGACGUGAGGACGUUCCACUACAUCAACCGCGUUCACUAACGCUUCUGCUGUACGAUCUACAACGGUACAUAGAUCACUCAUCCCCUCUCGUAGAUGGACAUCACCAUGAUAGGUCUUCGUGCGCGUAGGAAAUUUUUUGUUUCCCAUGCGACGUUCCCCAACAGCAACAGCGGCUAAGCAUAUAUUUUGGUGGCUAAACUUACGAGUACAAGAAAUAAGAGGGGGAAGAUCUACGCAUAGCGGACGUGAACUACGGUUGAUCAAACGAAUGAUCCUGAACACCUACCUACGUCAGACAUAACCCCACCGUGUCCUCGAUCGGAGAAGGAUCUCAUGAAAGAGACAAUCACGGUUACGCACACAGUUGGCAUAUUUUAAUUAAGUUAACUUCAAGUUAUCUAGAACUAGUGUUAACAAAGCUUCCACGUUGCCACAUAACCGUGGGCACAACUUUCCGAAAAGAUUUAACCCUGCAGGGGUGCUCCAACUAGUCCAUCACAAAUUACCACAAGCCGCAUAGAAAUCCUCGAUCACGACACUCGCGAUCUCGUCGGAUUCCUUAGUGGAAAACCUCAACUCCGAGAAUACCCAAAGCAUCACCGGAAUCCCGAUGCACAAGAUAUUCCGUCAAAGGUAAAACUAAUCCAGCAAGGCCGCCCGACGUGUCGACGAUCCCGAUAGGAGCCGCGUAUCUCGUUCUCAGGACACGACGGAUGAGCUAGACGUCGGGAUCGCUAAACCUCUGGGUGACCAGGGGGCGCCGGACAUCGCUCAGGUGGGACCAACACUCAUGAUGAGCACUGGCCCGGGGGUUGAUUAAAUUUCCUCGGGUUAAUUACUCCCUAUGAAGUUCAUUAGUUAUUAGGAAAAUGUAGUACCAAAGUUGGGCCUUGCCAGACCAGCUUUAAUCUAAAACGAAUUAUCAAGGGGGUCCCCAUAACAACCCCGAUCGUGUUAGGAGCGCUCAAUUAUGGAACAUAACACCGGUAGCCGAAACUAAGGGGGCAAAGGUGGAACAAAACACCAGGCUAGAAAAGACCGAGCCUUCCACCUUUUAGCAAGUAUAUAGGUGCAUUAAAUUAAAUAGCAUAUUAUAUGGUGAUAAGACAAGGAACCCAUGUUAUCACAUGGAAGCAACUGCACCUGCAACUAGCAACGCUAACAACAUGGUUAAGCAAGCAAUAACAUAGUCAAUCAGUGGUUUGUUAGGUUGAAUAGGUUGAAGGUUUCAUGGCAUCGUUGAGAGGCUGAUAUUUAACAUGUGGUAGGCAACGAGACAUGAUCGAUAGAAGCGAUAAAACUAGCAUGGCAAUGAUAGUAAUGGUAUCUGGGGAAAUGGUCAUCUUGCCUGAGAUCCCGCUUGGAAGAAGAACAACUCCGUGAAGUCGGCGAACCAACGUAGUCGAACGGGUCCUCACAUUCCGACACGCUUGCGGAACUCUAUCAAGACGGAGCAAACCGGAAACAAGCAUCAACACAGAUAUUUACCACACGAUGCACAACAUGAUGCACACCCUAAUAUGAUGCAUGACCAGAUCAAUAAUGCAAGGGAUGGCAUGGCAAUUCACCUCACGCAAACACUACACAUUAAGUGAAGCUCGAUAUGCAACGAGUUGCAUAUCGACGAAACUUCACGUUUAAUUAUUUAAUUCACUCCCGUUUAUUUACAUGCAAUAUUAAAUUGUUGUUAACAUGGCAAGGGGUGGAGCGGUGAUCCUACCUGUCAUCCUAGUCGGUUAAGACGCGGGACUUUGAGAGUCGCUACGUUACAAGAAGCAUGCAACACAAGGUAUUAUGCCAUGAAUGUGUCAUGCAUGCGAGUUCAUAACAUCAGAGGCAAGAGGAGAAAAGAAGCAUGUGUCGCCAUGGCGAACGAAAGGGUACCAUGGCGGCAAGACGGAAACGAUGCCACGACAACGUUCCUAUCCCGAUAACUCAACGAGAGGUCGGUGCCAACGAAUUGGAAGCGCGUGCGGGUCAAGCCAAAAUAAUGAUGGGGUGAUCCCGGUUACCGGGUUCCCAUGUGUCGGGGGCACAAAAAAAGAGGAACACGUGCAACGGGCAACAUAUAUAUGCGCAAACAUAUGGGUACAUCUGAUACAUCACAUGCACACGGUUCACGACAAUGUUCCAACGUAUACCUUCGAAGCAUGCAUAUCAGAGCGGNNNNNNNNNNNNNNNNNNNNNNNNNNNNNNNNNNNNNNNNNNNNNNNNNNNNNNNNNNGUGGAAGUCGUGGUACUCGGAUCUCGUCGACGGUAGUCGUACAUUUGGCGUCGGUAGACGGGUCUUCGGUGACGGUAGACGUACACGACUUCGUAGAUGUUCGGGGUCGUCGAGGACGUUGUGGUACUCGCCGAACUUGUCGGAUCCACAUUGGCGGGGAUGGUGCACGCGGCGACGGCAGGCGACACAACAUCAACAUCGGCGACAGCAAGCUAGCACGCAGCUAGCAACAGGCACAACAACGGGCUUGGCUAGCAACAACAACAAGCUUUGGGAGCGGCAGCAACUAGCAGCAACACACAGGCACAACAACAAGCAACCUAGCAGCAACAAGCAACCUAGCAUGCUCCUGCGGCAGGCAUCAGCAAUAGCUAGCACGCAGCAGGCAACAGGCGGCAGCAGCAACAAGCUUCAGCUAGCAACUAACAGCACCAAGCAGGUGCAACGGCAUGCAGGCACAACAGCAUCCGGCCGCGGGCAAGAGCAACAGCAAACGGCUGCAGGUUCAGCAAGCAACGGCAGCAUCAACAGCAACUAGCUGGCAGCGGCCGACAGCAACAACAACAACUAGCUUCGGCGUAGGCAAGCAGCACAAGCACACAACAGCGACAGGACAAGAAACAGCAGUCUCGGCGAGCUCGGCAUGGGGAACGGCGGCAUGGCGUGCAACGAGGAGGAGGAGGUCGGGGUCCUGGAGGGCUUGUCACGGGACGAGGGCUGCGGCGCAGCUGAGGCCGGCGGUAGCGGGGCUGACCUGGGGGGCUUGCCGGCGAGCAGCGAGGCGGCGGGCACGCGGGGGAAGAGGGAGAGGGGAGACGCGCAGUCGGCGAGGGCCUGGAGGGGCUUUGCAGCGUGGGGGCAGGAGGAGGCCGGUGAUGACCCACAAGUAUAGGGGAUCAAUCGUAGUCCUUUCGAUAAGUAAGAGUGUCGAACCCAACGAGGAGCAGAAGGCUCUGGUAAACAGUUUUCAGCAAGGUAAUAACCGCAAGCACUGAAAGUAGCGGUAACAAGUGAUGGUGUAGUGAGGUGAAACGUAGCAAGCAAAAAGUAACAAGUAACAAGUAGUAGCAAUGGUGCAGCAAGUGUCCCAAUCCCUUUUGUAGCAAGGAACAAGCCUGAACAAAGUCUUAUAGGAGGAAAAACGCUCCCGAGGACACACGGGAAUUUCUGUCAUGCUAGUUUCAUCAUGUUCAUAUGAUUCACGUUCGUUACUUUGAUAGUUUGAUAUGUGGGUGAACCGGCGCUUGGGUACUGCCCUUACUUGGACAAGCAUCCCACUUAUGAUUAACCCCUCUCGCAAGCAUCCGCGACUACGAAAGAAGAAUUAAGACAAAGACUAACCAUAGCAUUAAACUAGUGGAUCCAAAUCAGCCCCUUACGAAGCAACGCAUAGACUGGGGUUUAAGCUUCUGUCACUCCAGCAACCCAUCAUAUACUUACUACUCCCCAAUUCCUUCCUCUAGGCCCAAAUAUGGUGAAGUGUUAUGUUGUCGACGUUCACAUAACACCACUAGAGGAAAAACAACAUACAUCAUAUCAAAAUACCGAACGAAUAUCAAAUUCACAUGACUAUUAUCAGCAUGACUUAUCCCAUGUCCUCAGGAACAAAAGUAACUACUCACAAAGCAUAAUCAUAAUCAUGAUCAGAGGUGUAAUGAAUAGCAUCAAGGAUCUGAACAUAAACUCUUCCACCAAACAAUCCAACUAGCAUCAACUACAAAGAGUAAUCAACACUACUAGCAACCUUACAAGUAACAAUCGGAGUCGCGAGAUGGAGAUUGGUUACAAGUGAUGAACUAGGGUUUGGAGAUGAGAUGGUGCUGAUGAAGAUGUUGAUGAAGAUGCCUCCCCUCCGACGAGAGGAGUGUUGGUGAUGACGAUGGCGAUGAUUUCCCCCUCCGGGAGGGAAGUUUCCCCGACAGGAUCGUCCUGCCGGAGCUCUAGAUUGGAUCUGCUCAAGUUCCGCCUCGUGGCGGCGUCGAAACCACGAAAAGUCUUCCCAUUGAUUUUUUCUGGAACGAAACCCUUCAUAUAGCAAAAGAGGGGGGCUAGUGGGCCGUCAGGGAGCCCACAAGCUUGCCAUCCGCCACCUGGGGGGGUAGCGGUGGCAUGGCUUGUGGCGCCGUGGUAGCUCCCCUCCGGUACUUCUUUCGCCUAGUAUUUUUUAUAUAAUCCCAAAAAAUUCCAUGUAAAUUUUCAGGGCAUUUGGAGAUGUGCAGAAUAGUGGACUACGAUUUGCUCCUUUUCCAGUCCAGAAUUCCAGCUGCCUGAAUUCUCCCUCUUCAAAUAAUCCUUGCAAAAUAAGAGAGAAAAGGCAUAAAUAUGGUACCACAAAGUAAUAUAACAGCCCAUAAAGCAAUAAAUAUCAACAUGAAAGCAUGAUGCAAAAUGGACGUAUCAACUCCCCCAAGCUUAGACCUCGCUUGUCCUCAAGCGAAAACCAAGUUCCAUAAACAUGUCCACAUGUUGAGGGGCGAAGGUGUCGAUAAAACAUAAUACGGACAUGAGGGCAUCAUGAUCACACAUAGAACAUCAAUUCAUCAUAAAGAAUCUUAUGGGAAAGUAACAAUUCUUUCAGAAAGCAAAGCAUGAAGCAAAAACCUUACCGAGAAGUAACCAACAACAGUCCAAAGUCAUUGAAGCAAUUGCAAUUUAUCACAACAUCAGAAAGAGUCAAAUAAGAGCUUGUAAGGAAAACCCACAUACUCAAUCAUCUCUUUUGUUUUCCACAAUUGUUACAACUCACGUGGUACUCAUGGUAUCAAAGUUUCAGCUGGACACAGAGGAAGAUAGGGGCCUAUAGUUUUGCCUCCCAACGAUUUACCUCAAGGGUAAAGUCAACAAUAAUAAAGCAUAAGUACUCAACUCCAAGUUGAUAUAUGAAUAUAGAUCUUUCCCAAGCAUGUGACGGUAGCCAAGACAAAGGAAAAAAUAGGGAAUUGGUGAAGAUCACCAUGACUCUUACAAGGGCAAAAAGUAAAGGUACAAGAUAGGCCCUUCGCAGAGGGAAGGAGAGGUUGUCAUGCGCUUUUGAGGUUUGAAUGCAUGUCCUCUUAGUGCGGAGGAACAUCACUUUAUAUUGGCUCCUAUGAUAAAGAACUUUAUUAUGCAGUCUGUCGCUUUUAUGUCUUCCUCAUCACAGGUUCAUACAAAGCUUAUUUUCCAUACACUAAUAGAUCAUACACAUUAGAGAGCAAUUUUUAUUGCUUGCACCGAUGACAACUUACUUGAAGGAUCUUAUUCAAUCCAUAGGUAGGUAUGGUGGACUCUCAUGGCAAAACUGGGUUGAAGGUUUAUGGAUGCACAAGUAGUAUCUCUACUUGGUGCGGGAGUUUUGGCUAAUAUGAGGUGGAAGCAAUCGUCACAUGCUAAGGGAUCUCUAAUCAUAUAACAUUGUUUGGAACCAAGCAAACACAAUUCAUUAUGUUGUCUUCCUUGUCCAACAUCUACUCCUAAGCAUGUAAUAGUUUGGUGAGUGCUCACAAUUGUAAAAAGUGUAUAAGAUGAUAUAUUUAUAUGUGAACUUCUCUUUCCUUAUUACUUCUUAUUAAUUGCAACAAUGACUGAUGUCUAUGUUGAUUUAUUCUCAACAAGUUUCAAUCAUCAUACGUGUCAUAUGUGAAGUUAUCACUUUCCAUAAGAUCGUCUCAUGAUCUUUCAUGCUAUCGUUCUUUUCAUACUUUUGAUCAUGGCACAAAGCAAAGCCCUUGACUAAGAUACUCCUUAUUAUAUAGCUCGUAAGCUCGAAUACAUCGGGGGAGAGACAAAAGCAAAAGACUCAAAAUAAACACUAAAGACUUAUUCCUCUAAGAGAAGAAAUAAAAACUGAAAAGGAAAGAACUAAAACAAAGGUAAAAGCAAAAGAUAUAAGGGUGAUACGAUACGAGGGCAACUCCCCCAAGCUUGGCAGAAGCCAAGGGGAUUGCCCAUACCAAUGCUUAGUUGUCUUCCUUUGGUGGUGACGGUGGUGGAGUUGUUGAAGCAGUCUGAUCCUCCGUCUUCCAAGGCAUAGGUGCUCCAUCAUGGCAGGAUGAACGAGUUGUCGGAAUCCUCAAAUCUGCAGCCAACCUUAUUGAUUUAAAUAUGUACUCAUACUCACAGUUUUGGUUCUGCAGGUCAUAGAUCUGGCCCUGAAGUUGAUCAACCGUGUCAUAGAGCCUGGAGAGAUGUUUCCCAAUGUUAAUGGCAUCCAUCUUGUGAUUGCUAGUGAACUCCAUGAUCAUCAUGUUGUUGGCGUUGAGUCCAUGCUCCACCAUCCCUUGACACUUGAAGACUUGUUGCUCCAUUGCUUCGAGCCUUGUCUCCAUGCUUCCGGUCUUCUUAGGCCCCUCAACAUCACAGAUGUGCAACAUCCCCUCACUCAUCUUGAUAGAUUGAGGGUGUUUCAGCACUUCUGUGAGGUAAGGAUUGAUGACUGUCUCGAAGAUCUUGUCUUUAGGAGUGUUUGGGGAAGUCAUGAUGAUCUAGAUCUGCCACAGAAACAAGCUCGAAACGAAAACAGAGGAAAACUGCACGGUACGGAGAUCAAAACCUUCGGGCGAAUAUAUAUUGAUUUUUUCUGUACCAGAAGGAUUGCUCCGCAAGGAAAGGGAGUCCGGGAGCCACACGAGGUGCCCACAAGCCCUCCUUCCGCCACCAGGGGUGUAGGUGGCGGCUUCCAAGCUUGUGGCCGCCUCGUGCGCUCUCCGGACUGCUUUUUAUUUUUCUAAUUUUCCAAAAACUCCAAAAUAGAGGAAAUUUCCUAUUGGAAAAGCAUCGGAGUCCAAUUUCUUACCGAAACAGACACCUCUUCGUUUUCAGGGUCUAAAACAGGCUGAUAAACAUCCCUUAUGUACUCCUCUGGAGUUAUGACAUUGAUGAUAUUGGUCUCAACAUUUAUGGGAGUACCAGAGAUGUAAUGCUUGAUUCUUUGCCCAUUUACCACUCUAGGAAAAUUUCCUUCCGUGUUAUUGAUUUUGAUGGCACCGGAACGAUAUACUUCCUCGAUAACAUAAGGACCUUCCAUUUAGAGAGAAGCUUGCCUGCGAAGAAUCUUAAACGAGAACUAUAUAGCAGGACAUAAUCACCUACAUUGAACUCUCAUUUCUGUAUUCGUUUGUCUUGCCAUCUCUUAACCUUUUCCUUGAACAACUUGGCAUUCUCAUAUGCAUCGACCCUCCAUUCAUCUAACGAGCUGAUAUCAAACAACCGCUUCUCACCGGCAAGUUCGAAAUGCAAGUUGACCUCUUUGAUUGCCCAAUAAGCUUUGUGUUCCAGCUCAAGAGGUAAAUGACAGGCCUUACCGUAAACCAUUUUAUACGGUGACAUGCCCAUGGGAUUCUUAUAAGGAGUCCUAUAAGCCCAUAGUGCAUCGUCAAGUUUUCUAGACCAAUUCUUUCGAGAUCUAUUGACGGUCUUUUGUAGGAUCAAUUUGAUCUCCCUAUUACUCAACUCCACUUGACCACUAGACUGAGGAUGAUAAGGGGAUGCAACUCCAUGGUUGACAUCAUACUUAGCGAGCAUCUUGCGGAAAACACCAUGAAUGAAGUGUGAACCGCCAUCAGUCAUCAAAUAUCUAGGUACUCCAAAUCUUGGGAAAAUGACUUCUUUAAGCAUCUUAAUAGAGGUGUGGUGAUCAACAUUUUUAGUGGGGAUAGCUUCUACCCACUUAGUGAUGUAAUCCACAGCAACUAAGAUGUGAGUGUACCCAUUGGAACUCGGGAAGGGUCCCAUAUAAUCUAAGCCCCAGACAUCAAAUGGUUCAAUGACAAGUGAAUAGUUCAUAGGCAUUUCCUGACGCUUACUAAUGUUCCCUAUUCUUUGGCAUUCGUCACAAGACAAAAUAAACUUACGAGCAUCCUUGAAGAGAGUGGGCAAAUAGAAACCUGAUUGCAAUACCUUAUGAGCAGUUCUAUCUCCAGCGUGGUGUCCUCCGUAGGCUUCGGAAUGACACUUCUGCAAGAUCUGUCCCUGUUCAGGCACACAACGUCUAAUAACACCAUCUACUCCUUCCUUAUAAAGGUGAGGAUCAUCCCAAAAGUAGUAUCUCAAAUCAAAGAAGAAUUUCUUCUUUUGCUGAUAGGUGAAACUGGGUGGUAUGUAUUUGGCUACGAUAUAAUUUGUGUAAUAAGCAUACCACGGUGCACUAUGUGAAGUGCAGAUGACAAUUAAUUGUUCAUCAGGAAAGCUGUCAUCAAUAGGUCGUGGGUCAUCAAGGACAUUCUCUAGCCUAGACAAGUUAUCUGCUACAGGGUUAUCAGCACCCUUUCGAUCAACGACGUGCAAAUCAAAUUCCUGUAGCAGGAGAACCCAUCUGAUCAGCCUAGGCUUAGCACCCUUCUUCUCCAUAAGGUACUUAAUAGCAGCAUGAUUAGAGUGAAUAGUGACUUUGGAGUCAACUAUAUAAGAUCUGAACUUUUCACAUGCAAACACGACUGCUAAAAAUUCCUUCUCCGUAGUGGCAUAUUUCCUUUGGGCACUGUCUAGAGUUUUACUAGCGUAGUGAAUAACAUUCAACUUCUUGUCAACUCUUUGUCCUAGAACAGCACCAACAGCAUAAUCACUAGCGUCGCACAUGAUUUCAAAGGGCAAGUUCCAGUCAGGUGGUUGAACAAUAGGUGCGGUUAUCAAAGCCUUCUUAAGUAUUUCGAAAGCUUCCUCACAAUCCUCAUCAAAAACAAAAGGAACAUCCUUCUGCAAGAGGUUGGUAAGAGGCCUAGAAAUCUUAGAGAAGUCUUUAAUGAACCUUCUAUAGAAACCAACAUGACCUAGGAAACUUCGGAUACCUCUGAUAUCUGUGGGGCAAGGCAUUUUCUCAAUUGCAUCAACCUUAGCCUUAUCAACUUGAGUACCUCUUUCAGAGAUUUUGUGUCCUAAGACGAUGCCUUCAUUAACCAUAAAGUGGCACUUCUCCCAAUUCAAGACGAGGUUGGUAUCUUCGCAUCUCUGUAGGACUCGAUCAAGGUUGCUGAGGCAAUCAUCAAAGGAAGACCCGUAAACGGAGAAGUCAUCCAUGAAAACCUCGACAAUCUUUUCACAAAAGUCAGAGAAUAUAGCCAUCAUACAUCUUUGAAAGGUGGCAGGUGCAUUGCAUAAGCCAAAAGGCAUACGUCUAUAAGCAAAGAUACCGAAGGGGCAGGUGAAAGUGGUUUUCUCCUGAUCAGAUUGUGCAACAGGUAUUUGCGAGAAACCUGAAUAACCGUCUAGAAAGUAGAAGUGUGUGUGUUUUGAUAGACUUUCUAGCAUUUAGUCGAUAAACGACAAAGGAUAAUGAUCUUUCCUGGUUGCCUUGUUCAGUUUCCGGAAGUCUAUCACCAUCCUAUAGCCAGUAAUAAUCCUUUGUGGGAUUAGUUCAUCCUUAUCAUUAGGAACGACGGUCAUACAUCCCUUCUUAGGUACGCAAUGUAUUGGACUUACCCAUUCACUAUGAGCAACAGGAUAAAUGAUUCCUGCUUCCAGAAGCUUUAAUAUUUCUUUUCUAACGACCUCUUUCAUCCUAGGAUUUAAUCUCCUUUGAUGAUCAACAAUUGGUUUAGAAUCGGGAUCGGUUUUAAUCUUGUGCUGACAUAGAGUGGGACUAAUACCCUUAAGAUCAUCAAGAGUAUAUCAAGUAGAAACACGGUGCUUCCUCAGAGUUUUUAGUAACUUCUUCUCUUCGUGCUCUGAGAGGAGAGCACUAAUAAUAACAGGAUAUAUCUCCUUCUCAUCAAGAUAGGCAUACUUAAGAGUAUCAGGCAACUAUUUAAGCUCGAACACAGGAUCACCCUUUGGUGGGGGAGGAUACCCAAGUAGUUCAACAGGCAGAUUAUUCUUGAGAAUAGGAUAUUGUUCUAAGACAAUCUUAUCUAUCUCAUCUCUUUCCUCCAUAUGCAUAUCAUUUUCAUGCUCAAGCAGAUAUUGCUCUAAAGGAUCCGUAGGAGGUACGACAAUAGAGGCAAGAGCAAUGAUUUCAUCCCUACCAGAUGACUCUUUUUCAUGGGGUUGUCUUCCAAACUUGGAGAAGUUAAAUUCAUGAGACACACCCUCGAAACUAACAGUGACGGUCUACUUAAUGCAAUCAACGUGAGCAUUGACAGUGUUGAGAAAGGGUCUACCAAAUAUGAUGGGACAAAAGCUAUCUUGUGCAGUACCAAGGACGAGGAAAUCAGUAGGAUACUUCGUCUUACCACACAAGACUUCUACGUCUCUCACAAUUCCCAUAGGGCAGAUAGUGUCUCUAUUAGCUAGCGUAAUAGUGACCUCAAUGGGUUCUAGCUCAACAGGUGCAAUCUCAUCUUUGAUUUCAUCAUAUAAGGAACGGGGUAUUGCACUAACACUAGCUCCCAUAUCACAUAAACCAUGGUAACAGUGGUCUCCUAUCUUGACAGAAACAAUGGGCAGGCCAACUACAGGUCCGUAUUUGUCUUUCGCGUGAGGUUUAGCAAUUCUAGCAGAGUCCUCACAGAAUUUGAUAACAUGCCCGUCUACCUCUUCGGCUAAGAGAUUUUUGAUAAUAGCAACACUAGGUUCAACUCUAAUCUCCUCAGGGGGUGCAAGUGGUCUAAUGUAACCCCUACGUAUCACAGUUGGAGCUUUAGAAUAAUCCUUUAUCCUAGAAAGGUAUGGUGGUUUCUCAGCGUAGGCACAAGGAACAACAGGAUCACUAAAAGCAAUGACUUUCUCCUCAACUAGAUUGGUUUUGACUAUGUUGCUUUCUACAGGAGGAUGAUACUUAAACCACUUAUCUUUGGGAAGAUCAACAUGAACAUCAAAAGAUUCACAUAGAGAAGCUACUAUCUCAGAGUCAAGUCCAUACUUAGCGCUAAAAUCUCUAGAAGUGUUUGUCUCAACAAAAGAUUUAACGCAAUCAAACUGGAAAUUCAUACCUCACUCCUUACCUUCCUCCAGUUCCCAAUCUUCAGAGUUACAUUUGAUUCUUUCCAAUAAAUUCCACUUGUGGUUAAUAUCCUUCUUCAUAAAAGAACCGGUACAAGAAGUGUCAAGCAUGGUACGAUCUUCAUGAGAAAGCCGAGCAUAAAAGUUUUGAGUGAUAAUUUCUCUCGAGAGCUCAUGAUUGGGGCAUGAAUAUAACAUUGAUUUAAGCCUCCCCCAAGCUUGAGCUAUGCUUUCCCUGUCACGAGGCCAAAAGUUAUAAAUAAAGUUCUGAUCAUGAUGUACUAAAUGCAUAGGAUAAAACUUUUGAUGAAAUUCCAAUUUCAACCGAUUGUAGUCUCAUGAUCCAAUAUCAUCACAUAGCCUAUACCAUGUCAACACCUUAUCCUUCAAAGAUAAAGGAAAGACUUUCUUAUUUACCUCAUCCUCAGGCAAACCUGCAAGCUUAAAUAAACCACAAACUUCAUCUACAUAGAUUAGAUGCAAGUCUGGAUGUGAUGAUCCAUCUCCUGUAAAAGGAUUAGCCAGCAGUUUCUCAAGCAUACCCGAAGGAAUUUCAUAAAAGAAAUUUUCAGUAGGUACCUCAGGUUGAGGAACAACUCCUCGUGCUUCCAUUCGUGGUGAAGAUACCCCGAACAAACUCCUCAAAGGAACAGUUUCCAUAGUGACAAGUGACAAUAAAUUUCAGCUCAAUAUAAAAAUGUUUCCUUACCAAUUUCCACUUACCAAAGGCGCUUCACUCCCCGGCAACGGCGCCAAAAAAGAGUCUUGAUGACCCACAAGUAUAGGGGAUCAAUCGUAGUCCUUUCGAUAAGUAAGAGUGUCGAACCCAACGAGGAGCAGAAGGCUCUGGUAAACAGUUUUCAGCAAGGUAAUAACUGCAUGCACUCAAAGUAGCGGUAACAAUUGAUGGUGUAGUGAGGUGAAACGUAGCAAGCGAAAAGUAACAAGUAACAAGUAGUAGCAACGGUGCAGCAAGUCUGCAAGUGGCCCAAUCCCUUUUGUAGCAAGGAACAAGCCUAAACAAAGUCUUAUAGGAGGAAAAACGCUCCCGAGGACACACGGGAAUUUCUGUCAUGCUAGUUUCAUCAUGUUCAUAUGAUUCAUGUUCGUUACUUUGAUAGUUUGAUAUGUGGGUGGAUCGGCGCUUGGGUACCGCCCUUACUUGGACUAGGGAUUACUACUCCAGCAACCCAUCAUCUACUUACUACUCCCCAAUGCCUUCCUCUANNNNNNNNNNNNNNNNNNNNNNNNNNNNNNNNNNNNNNNNNNNNNNNNNNNNNNNNNNNNNNNNNNNNNNNNNNNNNNNNNNNNNNNNNNNNNNNNNNNNCAGUAAAGCACAGAGACUCAAAUCCUUCGAGGUUUGGUCGUUACAGAUGGCAUCAGAGCAAUGCGUUGACUGUAGGUCGUGGCCCUAGAAAAUGGAUUAGAAAAGCCAUAGGAGUGAAAAUUUAUUCUAUAAACUUUGUCUACAUCUUACUCUUUCAUUAGACAACCACUCUAGUAUCUUGACCAGCUUAAGUAGGAACUAGUGUUGAGACCAGCACUUAUCUUGUUUUUAUUUGCGCUAUUAACGUGUUAGCGUAUCUGAUUAUGCCCGCUUUGUGGCAUGACGAUACUAGGUUGCUUGCUUGAUUGUUAUUUUGCUUGUUUGUGAAACUAGGAUCUUGUCGGAAUUAUUUGACUAUAUAUAUAGAUAUGUUUGAUUAUUGUUAUGCUUGUUUGUGUUAUUGCUAUGAUGUUUUGUUGCCUCAUAUAUAUUACCUUGAUCAUAAUAUGCAUACGGGUAGAAUAUCUAUAUUCCUUUAGAUCUAUUCUAUCUAUUACUCAUCUAUUCUUGCCAACCAAAACCGUUAGUAUGCCUAUUAGAGUGAGUUCCCCAGGAGUUGAGAUGAUAGCAGGUGUUGGUUGUCAUCAGUUAAACUUGUCUAUUGGGAAGCAUGAGUUCCCUACAGAUUUGAUCAUAUUGAAAUCACAAGGUCUCGAUAUUAUUUUGGGUAUGGACUGGUUACAAUUGUAUGAAGGAGUUAUCGAUUGUGCUAGUCGAUCUAUUUCUCUCAGUGCACCAGGAGGGAAGAGAAUCAAAUAUGUAUGUAAGUACUAGCAUAAGAGGAUGCAGGUGAACUCUCUUAAGGGGGGUAGCCUGGAAGAGGUGCGAGUUGUGAAGGAUUAUCCAGAUGUGUUUCUGGAGGAGUUGCCAGGUAUGCCACCAGAUAGAGAUAUUGAGUUUCUCAUUGAUUUGAUGCCUGGUACUGGACCUAUUGCAAAGAGACCAUACAGAAUGCCUCCUCAAGAGUUGGAGGAAUUAAAGAAGCAGUUGAGGGAGUUACAGGCACAAGGAUCUAUUCGCCCAAGUUCAUCACCUUGGGAGCCCAUGUUUUGUUUGUGGAGAAGAAGGAUGGAACCUUGAGGAUGUGUGUUGAUUAUCGUUCUCUGAAUGAGGUAACCAUUAAGAGUAAGUAUCCUAUGCCUAUGAUAAAUGAUCUGUUUGACCAGUUGGAGGGAGCUACUGUGUUUUCUAAGAUUGAUCUUUGUUCUGGUUAUCAUCAAUUAAAGAUUCGUGAGCAAGAUAUUCCAAAGACUGCUUUCACUACGAGGUAUGGUCUGUAUGAGUAUACUAUUAUGUCAUUUGGAUUGACUAAUGCCCCAGCAUACUUCAUGAAUAUGAUGAACAAGGUGUUUAUGGAGUUCUUGGAUAAAUUUGUGGUUGUUUUCGUUGAUGAUAUAUUGGUGUUCUCCAAGAAUAAGCAAGAGCAUGAAGUGCAUUUGCGUUUGGUGUUGGAGAAACUGAGGGAGCACCAGUUGUAUGCCAAGUUCUGUAAAUGUGAGUUUUGGCUGGAUGAGGUAGCAUUCCUUGGCCAUGUUAUAUCAGGUAAUGGAGUUGCAGUUGAUCCAUCCAAGGUUACUGCUGUUACAGAGUGGGAGACACCCACGUCAGUUGGUGAGAUUCACAGCUUUUUGGGCUUGGCAGGUUAUUACAGAAGGUUUAUUGAGAAUUUCUCAAAGAUUGCAAAGCCGAUGACUGAAUUGUUGAAGAAGGGGAAUAAGUUUGUCUGGACUGAUGAUUGUGAAGCUAGCUUUCAGGAGUUGAAGCAGUGUUUAUUCACAGCACCAGUCUUAACUCUGCCAGAUAUACAUAAAGACUUCCAGGUAUAUUGUGAUGCUUCUCGUCAGGGACUUGGGAGUGUUUUGAUGCAGGAAGGUAAAGUUGUUUCUUAUGCUUCACGUCAGCUUAAGAAUCAUGAGCAUAAUUAUCCUACACAUGAUUUGGAGUUAGCCUCAUUUGUGCAUGCACUGAAAACAUGGAGGCAUUAUCUCGUUGGUAAUCAUUGUGAUAUAAUUACUGAUCAUAAGAGCUUGAAGUACAUUUUUACUCAAAGGGAGUUUAACCUCAGACAGAGGAGAUGGUUGGAGCUUAUUAAGGAUUAUGAUUUGAAUGUACAGUAUCAUCCUGGUAAGGCUAAUGUUGUUGCUGAUGCAUUGAGUCGUAGGAGCCAUGCUAAUGCAAUUAAUAUUGAUGAUAUGCCAUCGGAGUUAUGUGAGUAGUUCAGAAAUCUGAGAUUGGAGAUGCUCCCUAGAGGCUAUUUGGGUACACUUGAGGUAAGGCCUACCUUGCUUGACAGAAUUAGAGAAGCUCAAAAGGAUGAUAAGUAUAUUGCUGAGAUAAAGGAGAAUAUGCUAAAAGGGAAGGCAAAAGAUUUCCAUGAGGAUGAACAUGGAACCAUAUGGUUUGAGAAGCGUAUUUGUGUACCUCAAGAUGCAGAUAUAAGAAAGUUGAUUCUUCAGGAGGCGCAUGAUUCACCUUAUUCUAUUCACCCAGGUAAUACUAAGAUGUAUUUGGAUUUGAGGGAGAGAUUUUGGUGGCCUAGCCUAAAGAGGGAAAUUGCUGAGUAUAUUGCAGUAUGUGAUGUGUGCCAGAGAGUUUGGGAAAUUGCUCAGUGUAUUGCAGUAUGUGAUGUGUGCCAGAGAGUUAAAGCAGAGCAUCAGAAACCAACAGGUUUGUUACAACCCUUGCCUAUACCUGAUUGGAAGUGGGAUCAGAUUGGUAUGGAUUUCAUCACUGGAUUACCCAGGACUCGAUGAGGUUAUGAUUCUAUUUGGGUAGUUGUUGAUCGUUUGACUAAAGUCGCUCACUUCAUCCCUGUAAAGACUACCUAUAGCAGUGCUAAGCUAGCUAAGAUUUAUAUGUCCAGAAUUGUUUGUCUGCAUGGAGUUGCAAAGAAGGUAGUGUCUGAUAGAGGUACUCAGUUCACUUCUAAAUUUUGUCGUCAGUUGCAUGAAUCAUUGGGUACUAGACUGGAGUUCAGUACAACAUUCCAUCCACAAAUAGAUGGGCAGAGUGAGAGGGUGAAUCAGAUAUUGGAGGAUAUGUUGAGAGCUUGUGCUUUGGACUACGGGUCCAGUUGGGAUGAUAAUUUACCAUAUGCAGAGUUCUCAUAUAAUAACAGUAUCAGGCUAGUUUGUAGAUGGCACCGUUUGAGUUUCUGUAUGGUAGGAAGUGCAGGACACCGUUGAUGUGGGAUGAGGUUGGAGAGCGUCAGUUCUUUGGACCAGACUUGUUUAGAGAUGCUGAGGAGAAAGUCAGGUUGGUUCGUGACUGGCUAAGGAUAGCAUAGUCCAGAUAGAAGAGUUAUGCAGAUGCAAAGCGGAAGGAGGUGACAUAUGAGGUAGGAGACCGUGCAUACCUUAGAGUUUCACCACUUCGUGGAAUUAAGAGGUUUGGAAUCAAAGGUGAGUUAGCACCACGCUUUGUGGGGCCUUACAAGAUCUUGGAGCGUCGAGGAGAAGUAGCUUAUCAGCUGGAGUUGCCAGAAGCUUUGUCAGGAGUUCAUAAUGUGUUUCACGUAUCCCAGCUGAAGAAGUGUCAUGCCGAGAUGGCAGAUAUUCCUUUGAGAGAUACAGUGCCACUUGAGGCAAUUCAGUUGGAGACUGACUUGACAUAUGAGGAGAAGCCUGUUAAGAUUCUGGAGACAUCAGAGAGAAUUACUCGCACCAAGGCAAUCAGGUUAUGCAAAGUUCAGUGGGAUCAUCAUACACAACAAGAGGCUACUUGGGAACGAGAGGAGGAUCUCAAGCAGGACCACCNNNNNNNNNNNNNNNNNNNNNNNNNNNNNNNNNNNNNNNNNNNNNNNNNNNNNNNNNNNNNNNNNNNNNNNNNNNNNNNNNNNNNNNNNNNNNNNNNNNNGACUCCCAUCGACCAGGGAUCUUUUUCUCGCGAGGGAAACAUCCCCAGGAACCGAAGCCCCUGUCCUGAUUCUUUCCGCUGCUCCGACUCUUCCUGUCGCCCGAUCCGCAACAUUCCGCCCUCAACUCAUCUCACCGCGCCGUCGCUGGAGCCCUGUUGCCGGAGCACACCGCAGCACCCUCGUUCUUGCCGGAGCACCAUCGGAGUUCGUCCGUCGUUCGUUGGAGUUCGUCCGACAGUCACAGGAGAAGCACCACCGGAGGCACCACGCCGAGUCCGUUCCGUUUUCCCUACUGUUCGUGGUGAGAACGCACGCAUGAGCCGAUUCAUCAAACCCCGAUGAACAGCUUCAGGACGAAAUUUAGUCUAUUUUUAACCUGUUUUUAGCUUUGUCAGAUUCUCGAUAAAAUUUUGAAACACGUUUAUCUUUUUACUCGUAACUCCGAAUCAGGAAAUUCUUUUUCCUGUGAUCUCGUAUUGUUGAGUAGAACAUGUUAGAACCAGUAGUUUUCAGUUUUACGAAAAAAAUAAUUGUUAAAACAGAUAUAUUUUAGACCUACCGGAGGCCAUAUUUUGCAAACCGUACAUCCGGUUUAGUUGAUUCUUUUUGCGUUGUCAUCGUAUCAGCAUGUAGAUGACUUUAUACCUGCUGCCAUGCUAUUUAUGCUUUGUUUUUAAACAAGUUGUUUUAUUGCCGAUGAUUUUAUUUGGUGUUAAGUGAUUGUGGUGAUUGAUUGAUGUGAUGGUUUGCGACGUGUAGAUUGUGCGGAGUGCGACACAAACUAUUGUCAGGAGUGUGACCUUCUGAACCAGAAUCAAGGCAAGUUACAUGUUGAUCAUCCUUUACCUAUUAUUUUUCUAUGCAUGUAGUAUUAUACCACCCUAUGAAAAUUAUGCAUGUAUAGGAAGAUUAUUAUUGCUAUGCCAUUGAGCUAUAUCCCCUCAUCAUUGAAGAUCGUGUUAGAUAUAUUUUGCUAUGCUAUGUAGACGGGGAUUGGUUUCUGUAUUCAUUGAGUUUAUGUGAGGAUUACUACAAAAUAAAUUGAGUAGUAAUUCAGGAUAUAAUACACCUCUGGGCGGAUAUGGUAUUGCUGGGUAGUUUCAAGAACAUCAUGGUUUCUACCCUCUGAAUGUAAGUGGAAUGCCGCCCAGGUUCAAAAAGAUCAGACAAACUUAGUGACUAGUAGCUUCCGUGCGCAACCACUAGCUAUAUGGGCUCUAGCUUAGUUGAGUAGGUUGUGGGAACCUUGCCUGGGCAAAGCUAGCAGAUGUAGAUAUAAAUAGGUGUACCGGCUUGCCGUUGGGUGGAGGUGACUGCUUCUGAAAGACUUCGUCUCAAUCUUCGGGUUGGGUCUAGUGGGUACAGUGUGCAAACCUCUGCAGAGUGUAUAAACUAAUCAUGAUUAGCCGUGUCCCCGGUUAUGGACAAUUUUGAGCAGCUAGGCCAUUACAGUUGUUGGAUGAUCUUGACAGAUGACACACUUAAUAAAAUUUGAUGGGGAACUUAAUAAUGGUAAUAGGUUGGAGUUGGAGAUGCCAAUUCAACCAUAUGGGAGUUAUUGUAGCAAACAAAUUAAAACUUGACUAUUAGGUAGUUAUGAGGAUAAAAUCAGCUUUCUGCAAAAUAACCAUCAGCCUUUCUCUUAACCAGAAUCAAGGCAAGUUACAUGUUGGUCAUCCUUUACCUAUUAUUUUUCUAUGCAUGUAGUAUUAUACCAUCCUAUGAAAUUUAUGCAUGUAUAGGAAUAUUAUUAUUGCUAUGCUAUUGAGCUAUAUCCCCUCGUCAUUGAAGAUCGUGUUAGAUAUAUUUUGCUAUGCUAUGUAGACGGGGAUUGGUUUCUGUAUUCAUUGAGUUUAUGUGAGGAUUACUACAAAAUAAAUUGAGUAGUAAUUCAGGAUAUAAUACACCUCUGGGCGGAUAUGGUAUUGCUGGGUGGUUUCAAGAACAUCAUGGUUUCUACCCUCUGAAUGUAAGUGGAAUGCCGCCCAAGUUCAAAAAGAUCAGACAGACUUAGUGACUAGUAGCUUCCGUGCGCAACCACUAGCUAUAUGGGCUCUAGCUUAGUUGAGUAGGUUGUGGGAACCUUGCCUGGGCAAAGCUAGCAGAUGUAGAUAUAAAUAGGUGUACCGGCUUGCCGUUGGGUGGAGGUGACUGCUUCUGAAAGACUUCGUCUCAAUCUUCGGGUUGGGUCUAGUGGGUACAGUGUGCAAACCUCUGCAGAGUGUAUAAACUAAUCAUGAUUAGCCGUGUCCCCGGUUAUGGACAAUUUUGAGCAGCUAGGCCAUUACAGUUGUUGGAUGAUCUUGACAGAUGACACACUUAAUAAAAUUUGAUGGGGAACUUAAUAAUGGUAAUAGGUUGGAGUUGGAGAUGCCAAUUCAACCAUAUGGGAGUUAUUGUAGCAAACAAAUUAAAACUUGACUAUUAGGUAGUUAUGAGGAUAAAAUCAGCUUUCUGCAAAAUAACCAUCAGCCUUUCUCUUGUUAUACUAUGCAUAUACAUGUAGGUCUGUUAUAUUACUUUUCCUGUGUAACUUGCCAAUACAUUCAAAGUAUUGACCUAUAUGGCUGCAACGUAUCAUGUUGCAGGAUAUUCAGACGAGGAGUAAGGUACCGUUAGGGUCGCGAGUCUUCACUCAACAUCGCCAGUGGGCUAUGAUGGGACUCAUCGUUAUUAUUCUGCUACUUUUCCGCUGUUUAAUAGAAUAAAGCUAGCUAAGUGCUAUGCAGAUUGUUAUAUUUUAUAAAUUCUGGAUCAUACGUUGUAAUAAAUGAUGCACUUGCUAUAUCUGGUUUUCAUCUAUGCUGUGUGUGCUAGCGAGUCAAUCCAGGGACUAGCACAGUAAAGCACAGAGACUCAAAUCCUUCGAGGUUUGGUCGUUACAUCAUAUAUCGUCAUUAUUGCCUUUCACUUGCACGACCGAAAGACGUGAACAAUAAUAAGAGUGUUCGUGCAUUGGACUAAGCUGGAAUCUGCAAACAAACAGAAAGCAGAAGACAAAGUAAUAUGGCUCUUUGACAGAUAAACAGAUAUGCAUGCGAGGGCCACUAAACAUUGUAACCAUGGUCUUCUACCUUGACCCAAAGAAAAAGAAAACUAUUUACACGGGAAAGCUCCCAAUAAGCAAAAGAAGAAAGGGAAAUCUUUUUGGGUUUUAUUUUUAUAAACAAACACACGAGAAGAAAGCGAGAAAAAGAAAUAAUAUAGCAUGGAUGAUACAGUGGCAAAGUGUGAACACCCACUAUCAAAGUGAAAGCAGGAAUAUAAAGUCGGUGAGAAACACGUACUCCCCCAAGCUUAGGCUUUUGGCCUAAGUUGGUCCACUCCCAUGGCUGGUCCGGGCGAUAUCCAAAAUCAUAAUGGGGGUUGUACGGGAGCGCGGCAGCUACCGCAUGAAUAGCUGCCUCACGGAGGCGAGCAGCCUUUGCCUGCCUCUCAUACUCCUCUGCCACUCCUCUGGUUAUGUAAUAUCUCCGUUUUACUUGAAAGUCAAAUAAGGCAGGAGCACGAAGGGUAAUAUGGAAAACAUGUUGUUGGUUAAAUAUUAACCGGUAUAGGAGGGAUCCAUUAUCCCUCUCAAGGAACUGAUAACGUAUCAGCGCGGCGCGAUCAAGGAAAGCUGUAUGGAGCGGGGGAUCUCCUUCGCGGAUGGGUACUUCAAGAAAAUUUGCUAUGUGAGUGGCAUAGAUCCCACCAAAGAAAUCCCCUUCAUUAGCAUUAUUAUUUAGCCUCCUCGCGAUUAUAGCUCCCAUGUUGAAACUUGUAUCACCCGUUACUGAGCUCUUAAGAAUACUAAGGUUAGGUGCGCAGAGGUGACAAUGCUCAAUCUUGCCGUUAAUGCAUCUACCUAUGAAGAGGGCAAAGUAAUGCAAGGUAGGAAAAUGAAUGCUCCCCAUGGUAGCCUGCGUAAUAUCUCUAGUUUCUCCGACAGUUAUACUAGAGAUAAAAUCUCUAACCGAAGACUUAGGAGGAUCAUUGAGACUACUCCAAUCAGGUAUCUUGCAAAUUCUACUGAAAUCCUCUAAAUACAUGGUAUACCAUUUGUCAUACAGAUCAAACAGUAUGGAUGUGUCACGACCAGCUGAAAAUUUGAAUCUACGAACAAAAGAGGCAGUGAGAGUAGUAUACUGUUCACAUUUAUCGGAGAUGAAUUCUUCGAGCCCGGCGUUGUGAACAAAUGUAUCAAACUCGUCUUUGAAACCUGCAUCAAUCAUGAAUUCAUCAGAAGACCAUUCACAUGGUUGUACCUGUGCGUUCCUCGGUUGGUAAGGAUCGGGCUCCCGAAUCGCAAGAUGGGGACCUCUUUUGCUCGAGGAACCACCAUGAUAGUUUCUCCUGAACAUCUUCCUUUUCUGAAAUUUUUAGUGACUCAAAGGAAAAGUGAACAAGGCUCAACAAAACUCAUAGCAAUUACUCCAACAAGUGCCUAGAUGACGUAUCAUGCAUCAAAACUACUUGGGACCAGCUAAAAUUAGCAUGCAAAGCUCAAGAACAGGGUCACCAAGGCAGCAAAAAUAUGCGACGAAUAAGGCACUAGAGAAAAAACUAAUUGGACCAAUGAAGGAGUCACAUACCAAGGAGAAAUUUCUCCAAAACAGUUUGGUGAAUGGGGCUUUGCACAAGGAGAUCGAAAAUCGCAGCAAGAAGAGCAAGAACACGGGUUUGAGCUGCGGAAUGAUUUUUUUCUGGAGGUAGGAGAAGGAGAUGGGAGCUGGAAUAAGUGGAGGGGGCCACGUGGGCCCCACAAGCCUGGUAGGUGCGGCCAGGGGUGUGCCCGCGCCUCCUGGGCUUGUGGCCCACUGGUGCAUCCCCGUGACUAGCUCUUUGUCUCAGAAUUUUUCAAAAAUUCUAGAAAAAAUCAUACUUGAUUUUCAGGGCAUUUGAAGAACUUUUAUUUUUGGGACACUUUUCUAAGGGACGCAAAAAGCAGAAAACGGGAAAAACUAAACCUAAAUCUAUCAUUUUUCUUCUAAACGAUCGAAGGUAAAAGUUCGGAACACAGGUUUGUGACUCUUAGAUUCAUCCAUCUCAUGGUCAUCAGAAGAAAUCUGUCAAUGAGGUUGAUCAAGUCUCCUUGACAAACUUUUUUCGAUUCGCAUAAAACCGGAGACUUUUCGAAUAGUCACUAGGUUACCUCAAUGGGGAUGUGCAUAUCCCUGAUAAGCAAAUCAUACUUCAUCUUAAUAGUAGGUAUAGGGCAUUCAAAGCUCCCAAUAAGAAUUGAUGAAGUUUUUUCAAUAGCAUUGAUGCAAUGUACUCGAUAUUGUUUCUUUGGAAAGUGCACCGUAUGCUCAUUACCAUUAACAUGGAAAGUGACAUUGCCUUUGUUGCAAUCAAUAACAACCCCUACAGUGUUUAAAAAGGGUCUUCCAAGGAUGACCGCCAUGGCAUCAUCCUCGGGAAUAUCCAGAAUAACAAAGUAAGUUAAGAUAGUAAAGUUAGCAACCACAACAGGCACAUCCUCGCAAAUGCCGAUAGGGAAAGCAGUUGAUUUGUCGACCAUUUUCAAGGAGAUUUCAGUGGGUGUCAACUUAUCCAAUUCAAGUCUACAGUAAAGAGAGAGAGGCAUAACACUAACACCAGCUCGAAGAUUGCAUAAAGCAGUUCUAACGUGGUUGCCUUUAAUGGAGCAAGGUACAGUGAGCACUCCGGGAUCACCUAGUUUCUUAGGAGUUCCACCCUUGAAGGUGUAAUUAGCAAGCAUGGUGGAAAUCUCAACCUCAGGUAUCCUCCUUUUAUUAGUCACAAUAUCCUGCAUGUACUUAGUAUAAGGAGACAUUUUGAGCAUAUCUGUCAAACGCAUUUGCAAAAAGACAGGUCUAAUCAUUUCAACAAAGCGCUCAAAGUCUUCAUCAUCCUUUUUCUUGGAUGGUUUGGGAGGAAAGGGCAUGGGUUUCUGAACCCAUGGUUCUCUUUCUUUACCAUGCUUCCUAGCAAUGAAGGCAUUCUUAUCAUAUCUCCUAUUCUUAGGUUGUGGGUUAUCAAGAACCCUGGUUAUCAACAGGUUCAAUCUCCACAUCCUUAUCAUUGCUAGGUUGAGCAUCAUCAUGAACACCACUAUCGAUAUUAUCACUAGGCUCAUGUUCAUCACCAGAUUGUGUUUCAGCAUCAGAAACAGAGAUAUCAUUUGGAUUCUCAGGUGCAACAGCAGCAGGUUUGCUAGCAUGCAAGUUCCUAUCAUCUUUCUUUUUCUUCCUAUUACUAGGACGACUAGGUGCAUCAGUGCUAACUCCUUGAGAAUCUUGUUCAAUUUUCUUAGGAUGGCCCUCAGGAUACAAAGGUUCCUGGGUCAUUCUACCGCCUCUAGUGACGACUCUAACAGAAUUGUCAUUCAACUCAUUGAGCAAGUCAUUUUGAGCCUUAAGUACUUGUUCUACUUGAGUGGUGACCGUGGAGGCAUGUUUACUCAAAAGCUUAAGGUCAUUGACAUUUCUAUCCACACACGCACUUAAAUGACUCAACAUACGAGCAUUAUGUUCCAAUUGUCUGCUAACGUAGUCAUUGAAACUUUGUUGUUUGGCAAUAAAGUUAUCAAAUUCAUCUAAGCAUAAGCUAGCAGGUUUAUCAAAAGGAAUAUCACUCUCAUUGAAUCUACAAAGAGAAUUUACCUCUACUACCUGUGUCAGGUUAUCAAGACCAUGGAUUUCUUCGAUAGGUGGUAGAUUCUUAACAUCUUUAGAUUUAAUACCUUUCUCUUGCAUAGAUUUCUUGGCUUCUUGCAUAUCUUCAGGACUGAGGAAUAGAAUACCUCUUGUCUUCGGAGUUGGCUUCGGAGGUGAUUCCGGAAUAGUCCAAGCAUUCUCAUUGCACAAGAUAUUAUUCAAUAGAAUCUCAGCUUGUUCCACAGUUCGUUCCCUGAAAACACAACCAGCACAACUAUCUAGGUGGUCCCUAGAAGCAUCGGUCAGUCCAUUAUAGAAGAUAUCAAGUAUUUCAUUCUUCUCAAGAGGGUGACCAGGUAAAGCAUUCAGUAACUGGACAAGCCUCCCCCAAGCUUGUGGGAGACUCUCUUCUUCAGCUUGCACAAAGUUAUAUAUUUCCUUCAAGGCAACUUGUUUCUUAUGGGUUGGAAAAUAUUUUUCAGAGAAGUAGUAGAUCAUAUCCUGGGGACUACGCACACAACCAGGAGCAAGAGAAGUGAACCAAGUCUUAGCAUCAUCCUUUAGUGAGAAAGGAAACAGCUUAAGGAUAUAGUAGUGGCGGAUCUUUUCCUCACUCGUGAAUAGGGUGGCUAUAUCGUGCAACUUAGUAAGAUGUGCUACAACCGUUUUAGACUCAUAACCAUGAAAAGGAUCAGAUUCGAACAAAGUGAUUAACUUAGGAUCGACGGGGAAUUCAUAAUCAUUAUCGGUCACAAAGAUAGGCGAGGUAGCAAACUUAGGAUCGUAUUUCAUUCUAGCGUUCAGAGAUUUUUCUUUCCACCUACGUAGUAAUUUCUCAAGAUCAUAGCUAUCCUUACAAGCAAGAAAGUCCUCAGCUAUCUCUCCCUCCAUAACAUAACCCUCAGGUAUAUCAGGCAAUUCAUAUCUUGGAGAGCUAGUUCUAACAAGUGAAACAACAGGUUCUACUUCAAUAAUUUCAGCAGUUUCAAAAGUAUCAUCACAUUCAGCAGCUACUCUAGCAAUUUGUGCAUCAAGGAAUGCACCUAGUGGCAAAGCAGUAUCAAGCAAAGCAUCAUCACAAGCAUCAUGGAUAGCAGAAGUAGCAUCAUCAAGCACAGGCGACACGUCAAAAUUUCUAGCAGGAGGUGGUGUCGCAAACUUACUCAUAACUAAAGGUGAAUCAAGUGCAGAGCUAGAUGGCAGUUCCUUACCUGUCCUCGUAGUUGAGGGCAAGACUUUAGUUUUUGGAUCUUUCGGAUUCCUCAUAGUGAUCAACAUAUGUAAAUCCCAGGUGACUCAGAGAAUAGAGCUAUGCCUCCCAGGCAACGGCGCGAGAAAAUAGUCUUGAUAACCCACAAGUAUAGGGGAUCGCAAUAGUUUUCGAGGGUAGAGUAUUCAACCCAAAUUUUUUGGUUCGACACAAGGGGAAGCAAAAGAAUAUUCUCGAGUAUUAGCAGUUGAGUUAUCAAUUCAACCACACCUGAAAGACUUAGUAUCUGCAGCAAAGUUUCAGUAGCAAAAUAGUGUGAUAGCAACGGUAGCAACGGUAAACAUAGCAGCAGUGACAACAACAGUUGUAACAGUAGCAGCAGUAACAGCAGUAGCGGCAAAGUAACGUGGCAAGGACCAGUAGGAAAAACUCGUAGGCAUUGGAUCGGUGAUGGAUAAUUAUGCCGUAUGACAUUCAUCAUGCAACAAUUAUAACAUGGAGAGAUAUGUAACUAGCUCCAGUUCGUCAAUGUAAUGUAGGCAUGUAUUCUGUAUAUAGUCAUACGUGCUUAUGGAAAAGAACUUGCAUGACAUCUAUUGUCCAUCCCUCCCGUGGCAGCGGGGUCCUAAUGGAAACUAAGGGAUAUUAAGGUUCUCCUUUUAAUAGAGAACCGGAACAAAGCAUUAGCACUUAGUGAAUACAUGAACUCCUCAUACUAUGGUCAUCUCCGGGAGUGGUAACGGCUAUUGUCACUCCGGGGUUGCCGGGUCAUAACACAUAGUAGGUGACUACAACUUGCAAGAUAGGAUCAAGAACACACAUAUAUUGACGAGAACAUAAUAGGUUCAGAUCUGAAAUCAUGGCACUCGGGCCCUAGUGACAAGCAUUAAGCAUAGCCAAGUAGUAGCAACACCAAUCUCAGAACAUAGUGGAUACUAGGGAUCAAUCCCCAUCAAAACUAACUCGACUACAUGAUAGAUCUCAUCCAACCCAUCACCGUCCAGCAAGCCUACGAUGAGAUUACUCACGAACAAUGAAGAGCAUCAUGGAAUUGGCGAUGAAGUAAGGUUGGUGAUGACGAUGGCGACGAUCUCCCCUCUCCGGAGCCCAGAACGGACUCCAGAUCUGCCCUCUAGAGGAAGAACAGGUGGUGGCGCUGCCUCCGUAUCGUAAAACGCAAUGAACUCUUCUCCUUGAUUUUUUUCUGGACGGAAGGGACUAAAUAGAGCUGGAAUUGGAGGCAGCGGAGCCCCGAGGGCCCCACAAGCCUGCUAGGCGCGGCUAGGGGGGCCCGCGCCUCCUCGGCUUGUGGGCUCCUCGCUCCACGUCUCUGGCUGAUUCUUGCGCCAGUAUUUUUUAGAUAUUCCACAAAAAUUCUCGUAAAUUUCCAGUUCAUUCUGAUAACUUUUAUGUCUGCGAAAAAACAACACCUUGGCAAUUUUGCUGAAAACAGCGUUAGUCCGGGUUCGUUCCAUUGAAAUCAUGUAAAUUAGAGUCCAAAACAAGGGCAAAAGAGUUUGGAAAAGUAGAUACAAUGGAGACGUAUCAGAUACCAGUGGCCCCUGGUAGUCAUGUCACUUGGUCCGGGGGCAUGGGUGUUUUUGUCUGGGACUGGAGGGGUUAGCUCCGUGCUACUGCAACAAAAGACCUUCCAAUGGUGCCAUAAAUAAGUGUGUUGAUAGGAUACUCUUCUUGUCUUGAUACUCCUCAGCAACGCCACCAGGAAUCCUUCUGAUACUGCUACGCCUUUAGGGACUUCCUUGGCAAAUAUGCACAGGAUUCCCCCGUGGCCUUGGAGCCUUGCAUUGGUGUUCCCUCGAAGCGGAAAGAGNNNNNNNNNNNNNNNNNNNNNNNNNNNNNNNNNNNAGAGUGAUGUAGCACAGCGGCGGUAAGUAUUUCCCUCAGUUUUGAGAACCAAGGUAUCGAUCCAGAGGGAGGAUCGUGUCUUAAGAUCUUAAGAUCUUCAUCUUUAUUGGAUGACUCACCACUAGCUUUAGGAACAAAAGCAGACUUGACGGUCUUUUUGAGAGUGAGAUUUGGAGUAUUUUGCACAGCGGCAAAAGCGGAACCCAAGUUGGUUAUGACAUCUUCUAGUUUGCCAAUUCUAGAGGAAUCAUUAAAUAUAGGUUCCUUCUCCCUUAAAUUUUUCAAAACCAUUCCCACUUUGGAUCCGUACUGAGUAAUUUGAUUGUGGAUCUUUCUAUCCAAACCCUCAAUAAGUUCAAUUGUGGCAAUUUUGUUUUCAAUAGCGUCAAGCCUUUGCAUCACGUGUUCCAAGGUCAAGGUAGUUCCAUUAACCAUGAGCGGCGGUGAGCCUACAAAAUUCAGGAUAGCUCCAUAGGAGUCAACAGUAUGGCUCCCUAGAAAACUCCCGCCUACGAUGGUAUCAAGAAUAUAUCUAUUCCAAGGAGAGAUUCAAACAUAAAAACUGCGAAGAAGAACGGUAGUGGAUUGCUUACGAGUAGAUCUACUUUGAGCAUUGCAAAUCCUGUACCAAGCGUCCUUUAAACUUUCUUCCUCAAUCUGCUUGAAAUUGAGAACUUCGUUCUCACGGGUAUUGUCUGGAGUGGUGGGUCUAGCCAUUGAUGGACUAUCCCACACACAAACGAGCAGGAAGUAAGUGAGUGAAACGGGCAAAAGAGAACGGCAAAAAGGCAAAAGAAAACAGCAAGGGAGAAAGGCAAAACAAAACGGCAAAUGUGAAGUGGGGGAGAGGAAAACGAGAGGCAACUGGCAAAAAAAGGUAAAUGCAAGAGAUAAGUUUGUGACACCUACUUGGAUAGAUCUUGACUUGAUCUCUCCUCGGCAAGCGAUCCUCCUCCCGAGAAACGGCGCCAGAAAUACUUCUGCUACUGCAACAAAAGACCUUCCAACGGUGCCAGAAAUAAGCGUGUUAACUGGAGACUAUUCUUGUCUUGAUACUGCUCAGCAACAGCGCAAGGAAUCCUUCUGCUACGCCUACGCCUUUAGGGACUUCCAUGGAAAAUAUGCAAAGGAUUCCCCUGUGGCCUUGGAGCCUUGCGUUGGUGUUCCCUUGAAGCGGAAAGGGUGAUGUAGCACAGCGACGGUAAGUAUUUCCCUCAGUUUGAGAACCAAGGUAUCAAUCCAGCAGAAGAGUAAACCAAGGUAUCGAUCCAAAUGGAGGAUCGCGUCAAGUCACAAGUACCUGCACAAAC
rnacentral:lncRNA from 1 species